AUGUUGUGUGCUGUUGCUCUGUUUCUGCCUCCAUCCAGGCUGAAUAUGAGUCAUCCGGGGCCUAAUGGAGGGAAUGUACACUCGUUCACCAACAGUGGUGCUUUUAACUCUGGGCCACAGGAUGCAGACCUGCAGAGCAGCUGUCCACGGCCACGGCCUCUGUCCCGUCCACAACCCCCCUCUGCUGCUCCUGUGUUCUACGUUCAUGCGCCAACUGCUCCUCCUCCACCUGCAUUCCACUAUCCGUGGCCACUUCCCAUGCCCUUAUUCUUUAACCCCCUUGAGGGCUUCCCCGGCAUGGGCUAUGGCAUUUUCAUGCCACCUUUCCCUCCCUACAUGGAGACUCCAGCCUACAUUAUGCCCCCCCCUCACGUCCAGCCCAUGGACUACAGACGGCUGCUCCACCCUCAGGCCCAUGUGCCUACGGCAGCUCACCAGAACACCAACCAGAUGAGGAGAACCCGCCCGCCUCGUGGUGCAUCUACAGAAACCGUGAACGCUGCGGUCCAGACAGAACUCACUGAAAGACACGCUAAUGAUUAUGGCGACCGAAGCCCACUUGUCCUUCCAGAUUCUGGACAUGGGACUACCUCUGUCUCUCCCUCUUCAAGCUCUAGUUCCAAAAGAAGAGACGCUGCUGAAGCCAAUGACUUUAAGAGUUUGGAACAAAAAGUGAGGAACCUGAUGAGCAGUAAUGGAGACGUGCAGAUUAAUGACGCUAGAACAAAAGUACCGCUCAAACCCAGCUUCAACGUUCAACAUCCUACUCGAUCUGUGGGUACAUCUAUCAGGGCAAUUCUGGACGAUCAGAAGAACCACAAAGAGGGUAGCGCUCAGACGAAUGAUGGUCACUGCAAAGUCUGGUCGGUCAGUUCUUCUGAUAGUAUUGUCCCCGUGUGUAGUUCUUCUCAACAAGAUGACGUUUUCAGAGAAAGACUUUCCUCCAUUUGUGGUGUUCAGAAGCUGCUGCCCUCAGAAAGUCCAAAUGCUCGUGAUAAGUGUGUGGACCAACUCCCAGGCGAGGAUGACUCUUUUGCCAAAGACUGUGAAUGUCUUUACAAAAUUCUGAAACUACCUUUAGUUCGGUCAAGAGAAGAUGCUCAUGAAAUGUCUUCAGGCAACUUCCAGACAAGAAAAAAGAUGGCUGAGGUGUCUCCAAGGGGACAUCUGGUGGACUGUGGCAUCCAGUGUGACCAAAUCCAGUGUUUCUGUGAGAAGAUCAGAAGCAGCAGAGGAACCUGCAGAAGGAAUCUACUCAGACCUUCAGGUGUGAAGUCAAACAAUGGUGGCAGCAAAGUAUUCUGCAUGAAUGGAUCUUCGCAGAAAAACCAGAAUAGUCCUGAAAACCUAACUGGGCAGCAGAUGUCACAUGAUGGGCUCCCUGGCCAAACUGGGAAAAGGGGUGAGCACGGCUCAACCGCUCUCCUUACAGUGGACAGAACUAGAAAUAGAUUCCCGUAAUUCCUGUUGAGGAAUUAUUUGCUUUAAUGUUAUAAAUUUGUGCAAGACAAAUGUGUGCUUAAACACUAAAUACAGAAAUUAGCCUUGAUGAAACUUUUCAUUCAGGAAAUCGCCAGAUUUCAUUGUUCAUUGCUAGUCUCAGGGUUUGGUUUUGCUUUGCUACUCGUCGGUGGAGGAAACCACAAAUGAGGAAAGACAUGAUUUUAUAUUGUCUAAUAAUAAAAUGAUCUAUUUUUUCA
ensembl:lncRNA uncharacterized LOC114844041